UGUGACUGUGUAUGUGUGUCUAUGUAUGUAUGUGACAGUCACAUACAUACAUAGACACACAUACACAGUCACAUA